GACGAACGCUGGCGGCAUGCCUAACACAUGCAAGUCGAGCGGAGUUGAUGGAAAGCUUGCUUUCCUGAUACUUAGCGGCGGACGGGUGAGUAACACGUAGGCAGCCUGCCCUCAAGCUUGGGACAACUACCGGAAACGGUAGCUAAUACCGAAUACUUGUUUUCUUCGCCUGAAGAGAACUGGAAAGACGGAGCAAUCUGUCACUUGGGGAUGGGCCUGCGGCGCAUUAGCUAGUUGGUGAGGUAACGGCUCACCAAGGCGACGAUGCGUAGCCGACCUGAGAGGGUGAUCGGCCACACUGGGACUGAGACACGGCCCAGACUCCUACGGGAGGCAGCAGUAGGGAAUCUUCCGCAAUGGGCGAAAGCCUGACGGAGCGAUGCCGCGUGAGUGAUGAAGGUUUUCGGAUCGUAAAGCUCUGUUGCCAGGGAAGAACGCUUGGGAGAGUAACUGCUCCCAAGGUGACAGUACCUGAGAAGAAAGCCCCGGCUAACUACGUGCCAGCCGCCGCGGUAA
rnacentral:rRNA from 1 species